GUGCGGUGUGGGAAUCUUUAAUUGGCAGCUCAGGGAGAGGAGACGUGGCGGUAGGGAGAAGUAGACGCAGACGCAGAAGCUUGCAAAAAGGAGUAAGAGGACCCCUCCACCACCACCACCAUCAUCUCAUCAUCCAAUAUAUUUUCACUCGCAGACCUGACAAAGACCCAACAACAAACACGUUCACCAACUCGUGAACACCACCUUCCUUUCCUCGAGCCCUAGAAUUAUCAAGACGGUCUCGCUGCGCCAUGGGUUGCUCUUCCUCUCUUCCAGAUAGGAGUACUGGGCAGCUGGCAGGUUUGAAUAAUGAGAACGCUGGGGCUGGAGCAAAUGAUUCUAAAAACUUACGGGUGAAGCUGGUUCUGUUGGGGGAUUCUGGUGUUGGAAAAAGUUGUAUUGUUCUUCGCUUUGUCCGUGGUCAGUUUGACCCAACAUCUAAGGUAACUGUAGGAGCUUCAUUCCUGUCACAGACUAUAGCCUUGCAAGAUUCUACCACAGUUAAGUUUGAAAUAUGGGAUACUGCUGGCCAGGAGAGAUAUGCUGCGUUGGCACCACUUUAUUACCGAGGAGCUGCUGUUGCUGUUGUUGUUUAUGAUAUAACAAGUCUAGAGUCAUUCAACAAAGCUCAGUACUGGAUUAAGGAACUACAGAAACAUGGGAGCCCUGAUAUCAUAAUGGCUUUGGUGGGAAACAAAGCUGAUCUUCAUGAGAAGCAAAAAGUGCCUGCUCAAGAUGCUAAGGAUUGUGCGGAGAAGAAUGGGAUGUUCUUCAUCGAGACAUCUGCAAAGACAGCAGAUAAUAUCAAUCAGCUAUUUGAGGAAAUUGCCAAACGUCUACCCCGGGAGUCCUCAUCAUGAUAUUAUGGAGUGAUGAAUGUAUAAUUACUAAGCAAGCAUCGAGCUGGAGCUCCCUUACUUCUAUGUUCUCCUUCUUUGUAUCAUAGAGUUUUUAGUCUGAUUUAUCUUUCAAUGUGCUCUAUUCUAUGUCGGGUUUCAGUUUAAUUUGAUCACGACGUCAGAUGCUGAAUCAAGCUUUCAAAGGGGGUGAGAUGUGGCAAGCAGACAUUAGCUUGGAUGGGAUGUGCACAGAAUGCAGUAGCCUUGUUGAACCUAUCUUACUCAAUUUGAGGGAUGCUUGUUCAGGUGGUAAUGGUAUGACAGUAGAAAUGAAACUAGAAUACAGUUUUAUUGAUGACCAGAAAGAGUUAUGGGAAAAAGUGGAGAAGCAUUUUCAACUCUGUUGCCUGUUUCUGCCAUGUGGGUAGUUCGGAGUUCCUUGGAUAGUCCACCUGUAAUUUGGUGAUCUGAAUCAUAUAGUUGUUAAAUGGGGCUUCUUACUUGUUUCUUUAAUGGCCCUAUUCUUCACCAGAACUGGCUGUUUCAAAUAGUUUACUAUUUUGACA